UACGUAGGGGGCAAGCGUUGUCCGGAUUUAUUGGGCGUAAAGAGCGUGUAGGCGGCUUUACAGGUCCGUUGUGAAAACUCGAGGCUCAACCUCGAGACGCCGGUGGAAACCAUCUAGCUAGAGUCCGGAAGAGGAGAGUGGAAUUCCUGGUGUAGCGGUGAAAUGCGCAGAUAUCAGGAAGAACACCCGUGGCGAAGGCGGCUCUCUGGUACGUGACUGACGCUGAGACGCGAAAGCGUGGGGAGCGAACAGG
rnacentral:rRNA from 1 species